rnacentral:rRNA from 1 species
GGAGUCUAGCAUAUGCGCGAGUCAUUGGGCGUUACGAAACCCAAAGGCGUAGUGAAAGCAAAGGUGUACCUUUGUGCACUGAGGUAUGAUCCCGGUUCCUUAAUUGGGCUGGGCGCAAUACCGACCCGUCCUAAACUGUCUUACAGUGGGGCGGCGUAAGAGCGCAUAUGCUGAAACCCGAAAGAUGGUGAACUAUGCUUGGGCAGGUUGAAGCCAGAGGAAACUCUGGUGGAGGACCGUAGCGAUUCUGACGUGCAAAUCGAUCGUCAGACCCGAGUAUAGGGGCGAAAGACUAAUCGAACCAUCUAGUAGCUGGUUCCCUCCGAAGUUUCCCUCAGGAUAGCUGGUUCACAUGAACUAAACAGUCUCAUCCGGUAAAGCGAAUGAUUGGAGGUAUUGGGGACGAAAUGUUCUCAACCUACUCUCAAACUUUAAAUGGGUGAGAUCUCUGACCCGCUUAAUUGGGCUUGGGGGGUUUUGGAUGUGUGUACCUAGUGGGCCAUUUUUGGUAAGCAGAACUGGCGCUGUGGGAUGAACCAAACUAUCAGCUAAGGUGCCAAACAGGACGUUCAUGAGACACCACACAAGGUGUUGGUUGAUAUAGACAGCAGGACGGUGGCCAUGGAAGUUGGAAUCCGCUAAGGAGUGUGUAACAACUCACCUGCCGAAUCAACCAGCCCUGAAAAUGGAUGGCGCUUGAGCGUUCGACCUAUGCUGGUACCUGAUAGCAUGCCUUGAUCAGCCUAGCUGAAGCUAUCAGGAGUAGGAGGGUCUCCGUGGUGAGCGUUGAAGCUUCCCCCGUGAGGUGGGGUGGAGCCGCCACGGGUGCAGAUCUUGGUGGUAGUA